GCCGCAGUCUCGGCCCGAGCGCGCGUGCCCCUGGGGCCACGUGACGGAAGGCCCCGCCCCCCGCGCGCGCGGGAGUGACGUCACCCGGCUCGCCCGGCGUGGGUGCCCAGCGGCCGCGGCGAGGUGCCGGGCGCCGUCGAGGCCGCGUUUUGGGCCACAGCCUUGAGGGUCUGUGACGGGCGGCCUUCGGGUUUCUUCUCGUAUAAAAAGGCCUCGUUAAGGACAAGUGGGCUUACACGUUUUAAACGAUGUUCAAGCUCCGUUGCGAUAAAAGACACGUGGGUUCAAGUGUGAAGGCUUUGCGGUGCACGCCCCCGAGAAGCCGUGGGGAGACCGACCGCACGCGCCGGUGGGAGGAGUGCAGGGGUGCGGGGCUCCCGUGCGACCUUGGCCGCAGCGCCGCCAGUGUCGCCGGGGGCUCGUUACAACUGCUGAAUCUUCAGCCCCGUGCGACCUACCUAGGAAGGGAAGUCUGCAUUUUACCAAGAUCUCCGCGUGAUUCACAUACAACCUAAGUUUGAAAUCGGCGCCGUAGGGAACGGUCAAGAGACAGAGAAUAGCAGGGAGGGGCAGAGAGAGAGGGAGACACAGGAUCCGAAGCAGGCUCCAGGCUCCGAGCCGUCAGCACAGAGCCCGACACAGGGCUCGAACUCACAGACCGCGAGAUCAUGACCUGAGCCGAAGUCGGACGCUCCACCGACUGAGCCACCCAGGCGCCCCUGUAGGCCUCAUGCCCAGUCCAGUGCAGGGCUCGAACUCACGACUAUGAGAUCGAGAUCUGAGUCAAGGUCAAGAGUUGGAUGCUUUACCGACUGAGCCACUCAGGUACCCCCAGCAAGAUUUAAGAUUUACUGUACCGUUGUGUGUGUAUCUCCAGUUGGGUAAUUUUCAUGGCUGUAUAGAAUUAUAUCAGCUAAAUAUAACCCAUUUAUCCAUUCUGCUCUUGAUGAGCAGCUGGGCUGUGUUUUGUUUGGGCUCACAUCCACCAUGCUGUUUCUAAACAUUCUUGUUCAUGUCUUCUGGUUGCCCAAAGGCAUGCCUUUCUGUGGUGUGCACACAGAAUGGAAUUGCUGGAUCAUGGGAUACUCAUGAUCUUUACUUGACUUUGCCAAACUGUUUUCCAAAGUGAGUUUAUAAUAAUACUCCCACCAGCCGUGUCUGAGAAUUCCUGUGUUUGCCAAUACUUGGUCCUACCAGACGUUUGACAUUUUUGCCAAUCUAAACGGCCAUGUAGAAAUAUUGACGUUUUCAAAAAAGACUAUUAUUCCUUUUAUAAUUUAAAACAAUAAAGAAAUAUUAGAUUGGAACCAGGACAUAUAAUAUCACAGCAAGUUCUCCCAUUUUUCUCCCCAUAUAUCUGAAAGGAGGUCUUGGGGCUACUGCUGUCUAUGUUUGUGCGUGGAUCCUGGAGGGACACCUUUCAAGUUCAAAUGGGGCCGUGGCUACAUGUUUUCUGUGUGUGCACCCUUUUAGGUCCUGGCCAGGGGCUGCAGCCUUGGGGAGACGUGCAGAUGAAGGGGUCUGGCUUUGAUAGAGAAAUUGACUGUCGGUAGAAGAGAGGUAGUGAAGUCUGUCGCGUGGUGUCCAGACCACAGUAGCCGCACCCUUGGGAACUUGGUACCAGAGGAAGAGAAUCUAAAGAAUUGCCUAUGGGGAUGGGAACAGCGGGAGAUGUUUGCUUCAGAGGGGGGAUCCCACAGGGUGGGGGGCGGGAGGGACAUAGAUCUGGGCCAAACAAACAAACCAAACUUCCUGGGUUGAUGAAUUUACUUCUGAGAAACUUGAGUUUCCCCAGCAAUUGAAAUAAAAAGGAACGUUCAAGUGUAGUGGGUUCGAAUGAACUAAUUGAGAAUAGGGUCUGGGGAAGGUGGAUGAGGGGUUGAAGGUGUGCCAAAAAUUUAAGGAAACUUGUUAUCUGGAAAGGCAGGAACGGGUUCCUGGGUGCCAAGCCCCGUUCUGUAUUCUUGCUCGUCUUUCCAAAUCAGAGACAUUUCCCUCACCUUGUAUUCAUCCAGCCAAACGUGCGCCAGUCUGAGACUGUUAUAUGUCAUGGCUUCUGCAAACUCAGGUUGAUUUGGAAAGCGCUGCUUACUGAUGUGUCCUACCCGCGAGCAGGGGAGUACAAAGAGUUGGUCUCCACACAUCCAGAUCUAGACGAAAACAGACAACAUUGACGUAUGUGUGCUGGUACGAAGCAACUGCUGAAUUUUUUUUCACAACCAUAGCAAUGGCUAACAUUUCUUAAGUUGUUUAUUUAAUCCUAACAGCCCUAUAAUAUAGGUCCGGUGACUAUCCCCAUUUUACAAAUAAAGAAAUGAAUACGUACAUUGGCGAAGAAGCUUGCCCAGUGACACCGAGCAGAGUUUAAGGUCAGGAGGUCUGGCCUCAGAGCCAACACUCCGAAUGCUAAGUGAUUCUGUCUCCCUCAUACGUGACCAGUUCCGAGGCUGCUUACGUAGGAAAAGUGGUGGGCUAUUUUGCCCUAAGGUAUCCUCAAGAAUACUCUGAGAAUAAUUAAGUAUUGCUGGAUGUCAACAGGUAAUGAGAGAAAUGGCUAAAUUCGAUGAUUCAUGUGUUCUGUACUUAACACACUUUGUGAUGCUUAUUUUUAACAAAGUCUUUACUACACAAAAGUAAACUAUGACCAUUGAAAAAUCAGCAAAUGUAGAAAAGCACACAGAAGAAAAUAAAGAUCACUUCUUGUCCUAACGCUUGGUAGGUCACUAUUUAACCCAGGUCCCCUGUUCUUACACACAUGUAUACACAACAUUGAGAUAACUUGUGGUUUUUUCAUUUAAAGCUAUGUGAAGUUAUGGGGCACCUGGUGGCUCAGUAGGUUAAGCAUCCGACUCUGGAUUUCAGGUCAGGUCAUGAUCUCACAGUUCAUGGGUUCAAGCCCCACAUCGGGCUCUGCAAUAUCAGUGUGGAGCCUGCUUGGGAUUCUCUCUUUCUCUGCCCCUCCCUUGCUCUCUCUCUCUCUCUCUCUCUCUCAAAAAUAAACAUUUUUAAAAAGUUA